GGCGUGCCUAACACAUGCAAGUCGAACGGGAAAUCUCCUGCUUGCAGGAGAGAGUAAAGUGGCGAACGGGUGAGUAACGCGUGGGUAAUUUGCCUCCGAAUCUGGGAUAACCCGCCGAAAGGCGUGCUAAUACCGGAUAAUAUCUUGCGGCGUAGGUUGUCAAGAUCAAAGGUGGCCUCUACAAGUAAGCUACCGUUUAGAGAUAAGCCCGCGUGCCAUUAGCUUGUUGGCGGGGUAAUGGCCCACCAAGGCGACGAUGGCUAGCUGGUCUGAGAGGAUGAUCAGCCACACUGGAACUGAGACACGGUCCAGACUCCUACGGGAGGCAGCAGUGAGGAAUCUUGCGCAAUGGGGGAAACCCUGACGCAGCAACGCCGCGUGAGUGAUGAAGGCUUUCGGGUCGUAAAGCUCUGUCAAGUGGGAAGAACCUGCCCAGUGGUAAUAUCACAGGGCACUGACGGUACCACUGAAGGAAGCACCGGCUAACUCCGUG
rnacentral:rRNA from 1 species